CUCCGUACCGUAAACGCAGCGGAAACUUCUCUCUUUAUUUUUUCUAGGACAAAAGGCAACUUAUAGAGCUGGAGUUGCGGGUGGCAGGGCCGUGUGGGCCCCACAAGCCUGCCCAUCGCCACUAGGGGGGUGGUGGCGGAGCAGGGGCUUGUGGCCCACUGGCCCACCCCCUGAGGUGGAACUUGGUGCAUAUAUUUUUGAUAUUUUCCAAAACUGCUCCCCGUAAAUUUUUAGGACGUUUGGAGAACUUUGAUUUCUGCACAAAAAUAACACCAAGGCAAUUCUGCUGAAAACAGC
rnacentral:lncRNA from 1 species